rnacentral:lncRNA from 10 species
ACAAGAUCUAAAUGAACUAAGCUACAUACCACAUGUAUAUAUAGUAGUAGGAAGACUUAGUAUCAUAAGUUUCAUACAUAUAUGUAUUGCAACAAAAUGUAAAACAAAAAGACACUUUUAAGAAGAGCAAGGUGGCAUGAUAUAUACUAUUGAAUAUUAACAUACAUUAUCAUUACAAAUUACAAAAUGUUUAAGACAGUGUGGAAUAGUUCCAGGGAUAUAAAUUAAUGAAAAGUAAUAGAGAAAGACAUAUGCAUAUUAUCAUUUGAUGACCUAUUUAAUUGUGAUGCUGGGUCAAUUGUUUUCCUAUAGAACUUAAAAGAAAACCAAAUAAGUGCCUUAUCUCAUGCAAAAAUAUAAAUUCUACAUUGAUUAAUAAUCUGUGUAUUCAAAAUUUACGUGUGUAAAGCCACAUUACUUGAAAAGUUAAACUUAGUGUUUUGAGUUGGCUAGGGAACAAGAAUCAAUGCGAAUGAUAUGGGUAAGAGUUUAUUUUAAAGAUUAGAUCUUUCACGUUUUUUGAAAAGCUAAGAUGCUAAAGAGCUAAAAAGGAUCGAUUAGAAUAUAAGAGACACCAUUAACCAAGAACAACACGUGGUGCUAGUGAAGAAGUCCAUGGAAGGUGGUUGUCUUCAUAUCUGGUAGUGGACUUGGAGUCACUGUAUGGUGGCUGAUAGUCAAGAAGAAAAGAUGUAUGCAAAGUGAAGAGAGUAAGUUCAGAAAUCAUAAAGACAAAUUAAAAUCUUGUUCUCACUGCCUCUACCCUUGACAUGACAGCUGAUCAGGAGGAGAAGUUCAUACUCCUUGAGCUGGAUCUAUCUGCACAUGCACCUGGCCCAGGAAGCUGAAAUGGGAGAUCUGAUGAGCAGUGGAGGACUGAACCAAAGCCCUUGGCUUUUGCUCCAUACCAGUCAGAGUCUCAUCAGGAUAUCAUGUUGCAUUGAGUAGUCAUGUCUCCACAGGCUUUUCUUGGCUGCGACUCUUACUCACGUUUUCCUUGGUUUUGCCCACCUUACAGUUUACAGUAGUGGUCAGGUAUUUUGUAGUAUGUCCCUCACUUGGGCUUUGCUUGAUGCUUAUCUCCUGAGAAAACUAGGGAUAUGUAUUUUGGGGAGGAAGGCCACAGAGAUGAAGUGACAUUCUUUUCACAUCAUAUCAAUGCUACAUACUAUCAAAAGGGCUUAUCACUGUUGAUGUUAAUUUUAAUCACCUGGCUAAGAUAUUCUUUUUCAGGAUUUUGACUUUAAAGUUACCCUUUAUGCUUUUCCUUCUCAUAAAGUGCUCUUUGAAAUGAAGUCACUCUGUGCAGCAGACAUUUAAAAAGCAGGAAAUUAUGGUGACAGAGUAUCUGUAUAAAUUAUUUGCAGUUCUUUUAUUUUCAGAGUUUGGAAUUAUAGCACUCCUAUAAAUCUUAUUACUAAUGGUGCCACAAAUUGUGUACUACUGAUAUGUAUUAGUGCACAACUUAAAGCAUGUGGACAUGAGCUGUAUUUGAAAAAACAUUCAGAUGGAAGAGCUACCUGAUUUGAAGUGAAUCUUAAUUGGAACUUAAUGAUGCCUCCUAGUAAUUUACUAUUUUAGCUGAACCUACAGUAUCAGCUGUAGCCCAGAAAAUAUAAGAGCUACAAUUCGUACAAUUCAACAUCAGCUGCCAAGGCCCACCUGGACUGCACCUGCAAAACCAGCUGUGGUUUCUUUGCUCUCACAAUUCAUGUCAGUGUUUUUCAGCCAAUGCAUCACUGGUUUCGAAUUUUAUACUGUUCCUCUCUCAGUCCUCCACCCCUCUAGUUUCUAAAUGAUAGAGAAUAAUUAGGUGAGGUUUAAACUCUCAGGAUUAUUCAGGGUUUGUGGAGAGUAGGAAGGUUUCUUCCAGGUUACAGCACAAUUUAAGGAGCCUGGCAAGAAGCAUCCAAUAUUAGCAAGUAGAAAAGCAGCAUAAGUAUGAGGUUGGAACUUCCCACGAUACUUAGUACAUGGAAAAAAAUGUAGAACAUACCAAAAAAAAAGCAAAUUGUAAAAAAAUUUCACAAAUAAAAAUACUGUUAUGAAAAUUAUAAUUCACAUUUUUAAUAUUUUUUAUUGUAAAAUGUAUAAAAUUUGCCAUUUAACCUCUUAAGUGUACAAUUCAGUGGCAUUAAUUGUAUUUACAGUUUUGUGCAACAAUCACCACUAUUUUCAAAAAUUUUCAUCAAUCCAAACAGAAACUCUGGCAAUUAGUAACAACUCCCCAUUUUUUAUUCCUAAUCCAUCCCCUAGUAAACUCUAAAUCUUGUCUCUGUGAAUCUCCCUGUUCUAAAUAUUUGUAUAAGAGGAAUCAUACAACAUUGACCCUUUUGUGUCUGGCUAAUUUCACUUUGCAUAAUGUUUAAAAGCUUCAUCCAUAUAGUGACAUGUAUGAGAACUUCAUUUCUUUUUUAUGGCUCAAUUAUAUUCCACAGUAUGCACACACACCCCAUUUUGUUUAUCCAUUCAUCUGUUGAUAGACACACGUGGGUUAUUUCCUCCUUUUGGCUGUUAUGAAUAAUGCUGCUAUAAACACUAGUGUGCAUUUAUCUGAAUUCAUGUUUUACAUUCAUUGGGAUACCAAAUUAAAAUGCUGGGUCAUAUGGUAAUUCUGUUUAACAUUUUAAGGUAUCACCAAACUGUCUUCCACAGCAGCUGCAUCAUUUUAAAUGCAGACCAACAAAGUAUGAUUCUCCAAAUUUCCCAGUUACUCGUCAACUCUUGUUCUACAUUUUCUAACUAUAGUGAUACUAGUAGGUAUAACAUUAUGUCAUUGUGAUUUUGAUUUGCAAUGGCCUAAAAACUAAUGGUUUUUUAAUAACUUUCAUGUUGUACUCAUUGGCCAUUUGCAUAUCUUUAGCAAAAUGUCUAUUCAAAUCCUUUGCCUGUUUUUAAUUGGGUUGUUUUGUCUUUUUGUUGUAGAGUUGUAGUUUUUUAAUGUCUUGAUAUAAAUCUCUUACAAGAUACAUACUUCACAGUACAUUAUCUCAUUUUGUAAAUAAGUUAUUUCACUCUCUUAGUGAUGUUUUUAUUAUCUAAAGGUUUUAAUACUUUUUAAAACUUGUACUGUGAAUAUGAUAUGCCCUGUGAUUAACAAAUUUAUUUAUUACUUAAACAACUUAAUUUUUAAAAAUAAUUGCAUGAAUAUUUUUGUCCUAUUUGUUCCAUUCCUACUUCGUGAACACCAAUUAUCUGUUUGACAGAUUGUCAUUUUCCAUGCUUCAUACAAAUUCUUUUUUCUUCUGCAUUUUUUUCUUUCCAAUCUUUGUGAAUGUAUUUAAUUUUCUUGCCUUGAUAUUCUGACUAGAACCUCCAGUAUAAUUUAUUUAUU